rnacentral:tRNA from 1 species
CCUGGUGGCUCAGAUGGUAAAGUGUCUGCCUGCAAUGCAGGAGAUCCAGGUUCGAUCCCUGGGUCAGGA